rnacentral:tRNA from 1 species
GGGGUUGUGGCUCAGAGGUAGAGCACUCGCCUAGCAUGUGUGAGGCACAAGAUUCGAUCCUCAGCACCA